rnacentral:rRNA from 1 species
UACGAAGGGGGCUAGCGUUGUUCGGAAUUACUGGGCGUAAAGCGCGCGCAGGCGGCUAUCCAAGUCAGUGGUGAAAGCCCGGAGCUCAACUCCGGAACUGCCAUUGAAACUGUUUAGCUUGAGUAUGAGAGAGGUGAGUGGAAUUCCCAGUGUAGAGGUGAAAUUCGUCGAUAUUGGGAAGAACACCAGUGGCGAAGGCGGCUCACUGGCCCGAUACUGACGCUGAGGCACGAAAGCGUGGGGAGCAAACAGG